UUGGUUAUCCAAGGGGCAGCGCUGAGCUCCUUGCCAAUGGGAAAUGGGAUGCUGGUGAUUUCCAGGAAGUGACCUCAUAAUGACUCAAGCUACCACUUACUGUUGAUUGUGAUGAAAUGCCAGCUAAGGCAUAUGCCUUGGGAGCUAAGUGGCUGCUGCACUUGACCACUAUGAAGACUGGUGUGGGAAGAAUCCUUUUGGAUUCUCCAGCCUGUGUUGCCCAGGCUGGAGCACAGUGGUGUGAUCUGCUCACUUGAGCAGAGGCCCCUAAUCCCUGGGUCACAGGCCUGUACUGGGCCACACAGCAGGAGGUGAGCAGAGGGUGGGUGAGCGAAGCUUCAUCUGUAUUUACUGCCACUCCCCACAUUACCACCUGAUCUCUGCCUCCUGUCAGAUCAGCGGCAACAUCAGAUUCUCAUGUGAGCACGAACCCUGUUGUGAACUGUGCAUGCAAGGGAUCUACCUUGCUCUGUCUUUAGGAGAAUCUAAUGCCUGAUGAUCUGUCACUGUCUCCCAUCACCCCCACAUGGGACCGUCUAGUUGCAGAAAAACAAGCUAAGGCCUCCCACUCAUUCUACAUUAUGCCUUAGCCGAGAUGUCUCACCCCACUCUCUAUGAUGCAACAAGAAGCCCCUGGGGAACGUUUCAGUCCCAGUCUGUACUAAUGUCAUGUGCUCAUCACAGUCUGCAAGCCAUUUCUUCAACAAGGAGAAAUUAAUUUCAUCCAAAGAGCCCUAGGAGCAAGGGCAGACUCAGAAAAUCAGAGGCACUGUAGUCAGUUUGAGCAGCUUAUGUCUUCAGACUGCUAAGCCGGCCAGUGCCAGGCUGGGUCCCUUUAAUUUCUCAAACACAAAUCGCCCUGCUGGAAUCUCAAGUUGGAUCUGCAGUAGAUCACCAUUAACUCAGCAGCUUGCUUUGUUGUGAGUCCUUAUGCCAGGAACUGUGCGGGAUACAAAAUGUAAGAGAAGGCUGGAAUAGAGCAUCUCCUGGGGAAAUGAGAGCCAGAGAUACAGCGGUGCCCCAUGGAGACAGCCAGCUGGUGUUUGGUAGUUCCUUGUGGAAAGGCUGUACUUUGAACCACCUAAGCUAAAGAUUCUUUUGAGAACAAGGGCUAGCCUGUGGUUUCAUGGCCUUUCUUCCAUUUGGGGUUCUUGCGAAGUGGAAUUUAAAUGACCUCUUAUCAAGAUGGAUAAACCCAAGUUUCCCAGUGCUGGAAUAUAGAAAAUGGAUGGACAAGAUGUCUUUUUGUCACUUCCAGCUGGAUCUACCAUGAAAGACUUCAGAGUCCAGGAAGAGAGACUGACUGGGCAACAUGUUAUUCAGAAUUAGAGAAGAUGAUGUGGUGAUGGAAGAAGAGGUCAGAGGGAGAUUUGGAGAUGUUGCAGUUCUGGCCUUCAAGAUGGAGUCGGGCUGUCUUCAAGAGAGAAGAUCUUGAUCUGUGGCCCAGGCUGCAGUACAGUGACAUGAUCAUGGUUCACUACAGCUUCAAACUCCUGGGCUCAAGCCAUCCUCCCACAAUCUCACUCUCGCCCAGAGUGGAGUGCAGUGGUGUGAUCUCAGCUGCCUGCAGCCUUCACCUCCCAGGUUCAAGCGAUUCUCCUGCCUCAGCCUCUUGAGUAGCUGGGAUUACAGAAGCAGGACCUUGCUCUGUCACCCAGGAUGGAGUUCAGUAGUCCAAUCAUGGCUCAUUGUAACCUCAGACUUCCAGGCUCAAGCGAUCCUCCCACUUCAUCCUUCCCAGUAGCUGGGACUACAGGUUGGUGCCAUGACACUCGGGGAAUUUUGACUUUUUUUUUUUUUUUUGUAGAGAUGGGCCUUGCUAUGUUGCCAAGGCCGGCCUUGAACUCCUGCGCUCAAGGGAUUUUCCUGUGUUGGCCUCCCAAAGUACUGGUAAUGCAGGCAUGAGCCAUUAUGCCCAAUGUCUCUGGUUCUUAACCUUCUGCCUCCCUCUUCCACAUUUAAAGAACCCUUGUAAUUACAUGGGCUCACCCAGAUACUGCAGGAUAAUCUUGUUUUAAGGUCAGCUGAUUAGCAACAUUAAUUCCAUCUGUACUCUUAAUUCCCCCUUCCUAUGUAAUUAUGCGGUGUAACACAGGACAUGAGCAGUUGGUGGGGGGUCAUUACUUUGGCCACCACUGUGAUACUUUGGCCACCACCGUGACUAUUUUGUGCCAGGUACUGAGGUAAGCACUGGUGAAUUAAACAUGAAUAACACACACUCCCUAAUCUCCAUUCAUUUAUGGGAGGAGCACCUCGCUUCCCAUGCUCCUGAGAAUCUAGGGAGUCAAGGAAGACUUCCAGGAGGAGGUGGUGCUAAAGCGGACAAGUGACAGAGGAGCUGAAGCUAGCCAGGAAGAGAGUAGAUAAGGGGAAGCAUAUUCUAAGCAGAGGGCAUCACCCACUUCGCAGGCUCCCAGAGAGAGAGAGUGGGCAUUCAAGGGACAGAUGAGGCUCAGGUGGACUCCACAGCAGGUAAAAUGGAGAGGGGCAAGCAGUGAGGCUGCCUUGCAAGACAGGGCAGAGCAGGGCCUGUUAAGGAGUUUGGACUUAAUCCCAAAGGCAAGGAGAAGUGAUGUAAACAGGGGAGUAAUGUGAUGAGAUUCACGUAUGAGAGACAUGGCUCACGCUGCUGUGUGGAGAAGGCACCAGGGAGAGCAGAUGGCUCAGUGGGUGUGCUGGAGACCUAAAGCAGGGAACACACUGAGUUUAGGGAGAGUUUUUUAAAAUAGCAGAAGUUUGAGUAAUUUAAAUGCUGGUGGGAAGGAGCUAAAAGCAGGGGACAGGUUAAACAUACAGGGAAGUGGGAGGAAGAACUGACAAGUGAGGUUCCAGAGAGGGCAGGAGAAGAGGAGAUUCUUAUAGGGGGAUUAGCAUUCCUCUCCCCUCCUCUCCCCUCCCCUCUCCUCCCUUCCCCUCCCCUUCCCUAAGACAGGGUCUCACUCUGCUGCUCAGGCGAGAGUGUACUGGCAUGAUCUUGGUUCACUACAGCCUAGACUUCCCAGGUUCAAGGGAUCUUCCGACCCCAGACUCCCAAGUAGCUGGAACUACAGUUGUGCACCACCACUAUACCUGGCUAAUUUUUUUUUUUUUUUUUUGGUAGACACAGUGUCUCACUAAGUUGCCCAGCCUGGUCUCCAACUUUUGGCCUCAAGCAGUCCUUCUACCUAGGCUUCCCAAAUUGCUGGGAUUACAGGCAUGAGCCACCAUGCCUGGCCUCUGCUAGUUUUGUAUUCUCUAGAAUUGUCUGUAGUUAGUGCUAGUGUGUCACUCAUUAUG